UGUCAAAUUCAUUUCCUUUGAUAUAAAUCUCAGAGAAUUCUACUGACUUCUGCUGGCUCCUCUGGAGUUAAUCAGACAGAUAAGACCCUCUAGUCCAACUAAUGUGAGAUCAACUCUGGUACUUCAUUACUGAAGGUCUUUCAAACAGUGUGCUACUAAUGUUCUAAAUCAGGACAUUGCAGGAGUGUUCACAGUGUUUAAACCCUGGGAAAUGUUCUCUUUCCAUUUAAACUUGGUGAUCAAGGUGUUUGUAACAUUGGCAUUUGCAUUUUAAAUAGGAUUAGACAUUUCCUUACAUGUUUUUCUCCCAGACAAAAGAAUCACAAAUGUCCUGCUUUAAACAUAUUUAAAAAAUCUGGACCUGAUUUCUGAACUUUUUGAUCUCUUAGGCUGGAACCCUGAGAUCAGCAAUCUGUGCCUGAGGCAAAACCAAAUUAUGGUGAUAGGAAAAUGUGGGUCUAAGGCAUCUACCUACCUGCCCAAUCUAUAGCUUGAUUGACCUAAAUUAGUGUGGCUGAAAGGAUGCUUUGAAGAUAAAUGGGCUAGGGUAGUCUCUUGGGGACUCCUCUGGUGGUCACAGAUUGCUAGUGAUCCUGCUCUUUUACAUGCUCAUGUAACUGCCCACCAGGAAAUCCUGUCAUGCUGUAGGGGAGAGGAGGAGAAGGGUCAAGACUGACAUUCUGCUAGAAUUCACCCUACAUCAGAGGGUCCUAUCUGCCUGUUUGGUGCUAAACUGUUGCCAGGAGAAGGAGCCAAAGGACUAGGAUCUAGUUUAAUGUAGCUGAGAAUUAGCUUAAUUUUAAAUGUUAAAGCUUUGCAGGUACUUAGGUCAUGUUUAAAUAUUUAUCAGCUCUAUUAAUAAUUAAAUAAGCUACUUAAUAAUUGGCAUUCUCUGCAGUGUUAGACACAGAUAUCCUUUGCUCAAAGAGAGCAACAGAAAUCAUCUCUGCCACCCUCUUCCCUAGAGCACAUCCCUGUAGGAUCCCAUGGCUACCAUCCAACAUGAUAUCAAUAGCAGGAUGCAUGACAAACCAGACCCCACUCAGCUAUCGCAUGCCAUUGCCUCCAAAAACAAACAUUAAAAGAAAUGGAGCCACUACUGAACCUGAUGAUUUAAUUGGGACCAAGAAUGAAAGACUGCUAGCACUACAACUGAAAUACACUGAAGAGAAACCCAACUCUGUUCCUAAUUAGGUGUCUGAAGAACCGGAAGCUUUUUUUGCUUCAAAUGACAGAAAAUAACUCAAUACAUGCAAAAAUAUUCAGGUCCUCUCCACAUGUCCCCCAAAUUAAUGCAUCAUUUGACAAUGACUACAAGACUGACAAGGCACUGUGGAUAGUUAUAUGCAAAUGAGCACCACAUUGUCUCCUAACUUGCUUUACAACUUUGGGCAUGUGCAUACACAUGUGCAAACUUUCUUAACCAGAACUCUUCCAGAUUAUGUAUCUUUGAAUAGGUACCUGCUUGCCCUCAUGUAAUGUGAGAGUCAAACCUGAACAUAAAUAAUCUCAUUAAAGAAGGUUACAUGCAUUUAUCCUGAGUACACCGAUGCACCAUGAUGCCAGUAGCAUAAUAUAAUAAAAACAGUAAAACCCAAAAUAUGGAUUUUGGGUGCCUUUGAACACAGGCACAGGAAAGUCCAUGAGCUUGUACCCAGGUAUUAGGUUUAUGCAACAAGUGAAAAUGUAUGGCUUUCAGUGUUUGAAUUCCUUGACAGCCUACUCUAAAAGCAUUUUUGGUAUGGUACAGAUGUUAUUCACCAAUGUGGCCAAAACUAUGAUUGGUGCUGCCAGAAAUAUUGCAUCUAAAGAGUUAAAAGUGCAAAGUUCCUUUGCAAUCCUAGUUCAGAUUGUUUUGUGAUUAAUGGUGGUUAACGGCAAUUAAUAAGAUAUGAAAUGAGAAAUCUUCCACAAAAGCUGUAAAGCCAAUGGACAGAAUUAGAACUAUUCCACUGUAUAUCAUAAGCUCUGUUCUGAAUAAGCCCUGCCAAGGCCCUUAUUUAGAAGAGUUGCACAGAUUUUUCAGCUUACCAUAUGCUUAAAUGCUCUGUUGUAUCAUGGCCUAAUUGAGCUUCUCUUCAAGUUAGGUCAAGUGGAACACAUGCGACUGUGAAACAUUGCUGGAGUUAUCGACUGCUGCCGUGAAAUCCCAUGUGAGGAUCUCCUUUCACUAGAGUUCCAGCAAAUAUAGCUUAACCCCCUCUGUCUGCAAACAGUAGGUCCUGGUGGGCGGUAAAUAGGGAAAGGCUUCUUAGUAUAGACCUACUUCUUCCUGAUCACUUAGGGGUAAUUUGCAUCCCAGGGAGGGUUGGAGCUGACUAUGACUUUUCCUUAGAUGGAUGGCCACCUGAAAGGCUCCAUAAUUCUUCCACUAUACAAAGCCUGUCCAAAUCUAGAUGGUCUACCUGGCUAAUAUGUUUAUGGCCCACCAGUUUCUUUUGCCCAUGGUACACAAUGGAAUGAUGUGGCUAGCAUCAUGUCAGACUACCUUUGAUUUCUCAGCCCCAACAACCUGGUACCUAUUUGCAGCUGUUGCAAUAGCACUAGUCCAGAGCAUGAAUCAAAUUUAUGUCUCUGGAACUGCAGUAAGAUGCCUUGCCUACUCUGUCCCUAGACCUCUAUCCCACAUACAAGGGCAAGGGACAAAUUAGUUCUAGUGCUAAAUGAUGGUUUGAGAAUUUCCUGUGGAAGGUAGACAAAAAGAAGAAUGAACAAACCAAACUAAGUGCCCCCGGACCCUCAAAUCACAGUAUUGUGACUUCUUAGUGGUAGAAAGAGUAAUUGCAUUUAUUACAAUUAUGUCUAAAAAUGCAACAGAAUAGAUUUCCCUUGUGCUAGAUACAGUAGCAGGCUCUCUAUGGGCACAUCUACACAUGCAAUUAAUGUGCCAGAAUUUUCUGAUUGGAGGCAGGGGCAUUAAACUGUAACCCUGUAAGCACAUGAACAUGCAUCUGUCAGGUGCAAAUUUGUUCCCAAUGGGAACAGUUCACUCCAGGGACCCUCCUAGCCUGCUUGUCCCCCCUGCAGUAACUAUGGGAGCUCCAGGUUCUGCCAGGAACAGGGGCUGAUCCCAAUCUUCAGGGCAUGGGGGAGAGCUGUCUCAGCCAUGUGGAGAUUGGGUUGGGACCUGAUG